GAUGAACGCUGGCGGCGUGCCUAAUACAUGCAAGUCGAGCGAACGGACGAGAAGCUUGCUUCUCUGAUGUUAGCGGCGGACGGGUGAGUAACACGUGGAUAACCUACCUAUAAGACUGGGAUAACUUCGGGAAACCGUAGCUAAUACCGGAUAAUAUUUUGAACCGCAUGGUUCAAAAGUGAAAGACGGUCUUGCUGUCACUUAUAGAUGGAUCCGCGCUGCAUUAGCUAGUUGGUAAGGUAACGGCUUACCAAGGCAACGAUGCAUAGCCGACCUGAGAGGGUGAUCGGCCACACUGGAACUGAGACACGGUCCAGACUCCUACGGGAGGCAGCAGUAGGGAAUCUUCCGCAAUGGGCGCAAGCCUGACGGAGCAACGCCGCGUGAGUGAUGAAGGUCUUCGGAUCGUAAAACUCUGUUAUUAGGGAAGAACAUAUGUGUAAGUAACUGUGCACAUCUUGACGGUACCUAAUCAGAAAGCCACGGCUAACUACGUG
rnacentral:rRNA from 1 species